rnacentral:lncRNA from 1 species
UUUUAUAAUCCCUCUCUCUUCCACAAUUAAGAAGAAAGAGAUACCUUGAUUCAAUGCAUUAGGAGAUCUUAAACAUUGAAAAAUAAUUACUUAUAUACCAAAGCGAUUUAGAUAUUUAACUAGAUUGUAUAUAGAAUUAUUAUAAUAUAUUUUAAUAAUACCAAAAAUAUUUAUUUUCGCUCAUCUUCUAUUUGAUUGAAAAUAAAAAAGAUAUUUGAUUCAAAUCUUAACGCUAUAUUUGAUUAGCAGGAUAAGUACGUAUAUGCUAGGAUAUAAUAUGUAUAUCUUAAAAUAUAAUUUCUAAUAAAUAAAUAAAUAAAUAAAAUAUAUAUUAUUUUUUGAUAAAAUAAAAAAUUAUAUUGAAUUAUAAUAUUUUUUAUUUAAAAAAAUAUAAAAUUUCUCAUUAUGUUUUAUAAUAUUUGUGAUUAAAAUAUUAAAAUAUUUUUUUAUUAUGUUAUUCAAUAUAUAUAUAUAUAAAAGAAAAAGAUGAAUAAAAUAUCUCAUCACUAAUCUUAUGUUAAACAUAAGAAAAGAUAAGUAAUCAAACAUGAUAUUAGAUAUGAUAAGAAAAAAAAAAAGGCUUUUAAAGGUGGUUAGGGAAGAUGUUGAUUAAAUUUUCCUUAAGCCCACAAUAAUUUAACAAAAUAUUAAUUCCACCAAAUUUGUAUAGCAUCUUCUAUGGUUAAAAUCUUAUAUUUUUCUCAUUUUAGUGGUUGACUAGAUUGUAUAUAGAAUUACUAUAAUAUAUUGUAAUAAUAUCAAAAAUAUUUAUUUUCGCUCAUCUUCUAUUUGAUUUAAAAUAAAAAAGAUAUUCGAUUCAAAUCUUAAAGCUAUGUUUGAUUAGCGGGAUAAGUAGGUACAUCCUAGGAUAUAAUAUGUAUAUCUUAAAAAAUGAUUUUCAAUAAAUAAAAUAUAUAUUAUUUUUUGAUAAAAUAAAAAAUUAUAUUGAAUUAUAAUAUUUUCUAUUUAAAAAAAUAUAAAAUUUCUCUUUAUGUUUAACAAUAUUUAUGAUUAAAAUAUUAAAAUAUUUUUUAUUAUGUUAUUCAAUAUAUAUAAAAGAAAAAGUUGAAUAAUAUAUCUUAGUAAUCUUAUGUUAAACAUAAGAAAAUAUAAGUAAUCAAACAUGAUAUUAGAUUUGAUAAGAAAAAAAAAGGGCUUUUAAAGGUGGUUAGGAAAGAUGUUUAUUAAAUUUUCCUCUAGCUCACAAUAAUUUAACAAAAUAUUAAUUCCACCAAAUUUGUAUAGCAUUUUCUAUUGUUAAAAUCUUAUAUUUUUCUCCUUUUAGUGGUUGGUAGGAUAAGAUAGGAUAGGAUAUAUCCUUGAAUAUACAUAUCCCAUAGGCAUGAUAUUUUAAAGUAGCAUAUCAAAUGAUAUAUACUGUAUUAUAUUUAUAUUUAUAUUUAAUUUAUGAAAUGAAUAAAAAAUAAUAUGAAAUAUAUAUUAUUUUUAAUGUUUAAAAUAAAAUUUAUAUCACAUUCAAAUAUUUUCUAUUUUAAAAAAAGUUUUGUUAUAUUUAAUAAUAUUCAUGAUUAAAAUAAUAUUCAUGUAUAUAAUUCUAAUUUAAUUAAUACACUACAAAGAAAAAGAAAAGAAAAGAAAAAAUUGAAUUCAAUAGUAUAUAUUACAAAGAAAGAACAAAAAAAUAUAAAUGUAUAUAUUUUCAAAUGUGACUACUUUUAAUUAUUUUAUCAUUAAAAAUAAAAAUUUGAUAAAAGAUAAGAUUGUGAUAUCAACCUAUUUAAAAGAAACAUGGAAUAUCUUGAAAUUUAAAAAUAAUUAACGUAUUAUUUUAAGGAUAAAAUAAUUAUAACUAAAUAUAUUAACAAUUUGGACUUAUAAAGAAAGAAAUUCUAAAAAAAGGUAAGUUGAAUCUAACUUGGACUUAAAAAUAUUCACAUAUAAAUAGUCUAUCCUUAUAUCAUAUUUCUUUAUUGUUGUCUCUUUUGAUUAAACUACUCUUUACUUUUUUCUCCAUGGCUACUCAAAGAAAGAUCAAGAUGAAGGUACUUUACAAAGGAAGGUUAUUGGGAAUCAUAGAAACUACUCCCAAGGACCAACCAAACCGGAUCUCAACGGUAAAGCAAUUCAAUUAUGAAGAGGAGGAACAACAAGAUGUAAUUAUCAAGAAGGUUAUAUCUUUGACCAUGAAGAAAGUUACAACUUCAACCAUGAAGAAGGUCUCAUCGUCAACAAUGAAGAAGAAUACAAUUUCAUCGCAUAAAAGAAUAGAAAAAGUUCAACAAAGACUUAAGGAGCGCAACAGAUCUUGGCGGAGAAAAGGAAUUAUUUAUACUUGAAAACGAUCAAGAUAUGUAACUAAGUAGUAUACAAUUGUUGUAGCAUAUUGUAAGAAUAAGAACUACGUGCGGCUUGAUCCUAAUAUUUUGUGUUGGGUACGUAGGCAACCUAGGAAGUAACUCUAGGUUCAGCUGCUUCUAUAUUAAUCAAAUUUGUAUUUUUAUCAUACCAAUCAUGUAUUGAAAAUUAUAGAGUUUUUUUUUUCUUUUCCCCUGUACUUGAUCUCAACUUGUUUAGAUUUAUGAGCAAUAAAAAUUUUAAUUUUAUGUAAAUAGUUUUUUUUUUUAAAAAAAAUAAAAUAAAUAAAUUCUUCAUUUGUUUCCAAAUCCGAAUAAGGUAACGUUUUCCCACCUCUUGUUGAACUGUUUCAAUUAUAAAAAGAUAAAUACUUCCAUGACUCCGAUGCUUUUUUCCCUUAGCCCUUCUAUUAUUCUCCCUCUAUUUUUUCCGGUCUUGUAUUAAUUUUAAUUUUUUUUUUUUGUUUGAUCUGUAGUUCAACCUGAUCAUUUGUGUUCUUCUGUUUUUUAUAAUGCGUCAGGAGAUCUUAAACAUUGAAAAAUAAUUACUUAUAUACCAAAGCGAUUUAGAUAUUUAACUAGAUUGUAUACAAAUAUUUAUUUUCGUUCAUCUUCUAUUUGAUUUAAAAUAAAAAAGAUAUUUGAUUCAGAUCUUAAGGUUAUAUUUGAUUAGUAGGAUAAGUACGUACAUGAUAGGAUAUAAUAUGUAUAUCUUAAAAUAUAAUUUCUAAUAAAUGAAUAAAUAAAAUAUAUAUUAUUUUUGAUAAUAUAAAAAAUUAUAUUAAAUUAUAAUAUUUUCUAUUUAAAAAAAUAUGAAAUUUCUCUUUAUGUUUAACAAUAUUUAUGAUUAAAAUAUUAAAAUAUUUUUUAUUAUGUUAUUCAAAAUAUAUAUAUAUAUAUAUAUAUAUAAAAGAAAAAGAUGGAUAAUGUAUUUCAUCAGUAAUCUUAUGAUAAAUAUAAGAAAAGAAAAGUAAUCAAACAUGAGAUUAGAUAUGAUAUCUCCUCUCUUCUCCUAUCUUAUCUUAUGUUAUAUUAAACCAAACGAAUUCUUAAUAACUCAAAUUGAACAUAGUUUUUUUAUUAUUAUUUAAUAAUUAUUUUGAGAGAAAAAAAAAAAAAGAGGCUUUUAAAGGUGGUUAGGGAAGAUGUUUAUUAAAUUUUCCUCAAGUCCACAAUAAUUUAACAAAAUAUAAAUUCCACCAAAUUUAUAUAGCAUUUUCUACCGUUAAAACUUAAAAUUUUAUAUUUGACAUUUGACAGGAUAAGAUAGGAUAUGAUAUAUCAUUGAAGUACAUAUUUCAUAGGCAUGAUAUUUUAAAGUAGCAUAUCAAAUGAGAUAUACUAUAUUAUAUUUAUAUUUAUAUUUAUUUUAUGAAAUGAAUAAAAAAAUAAUAUGAAAUAUAUAUUAUUUUUAAAAUUUAAAAUAAAAUUUAUAUCACAUUCAAAUAUUUUCUAUUUUUGAAAAAAGUUUUGUUAUAUUUAAUAAUAUUCAUGAUUAAAAUAUUUGAAUUUUACAAAUAAAUUUUUUUUAUAUUAUUUUAUUUUAUAUAUAAAUAUAAUUUAUAUAUCAUAUAUUAAUAUUAUUUUAUAAAUAUUUUUUUAGUUUUUCUUUUUUAAUCAUACAUUUAAUUUAUAAUAAAAAAAAUUAUUCUAUAAAAUGAGUAUAUUAAAAAAAAUAAAAAAUUGAAAAAAAAAUAAAAUUUUGAUACAUGGGAUAUGUAUAUCCCAUAUGAAAUAAAUAAAAAAAAUGGUGAAUAAUAUAUCCCAUUACUUAUCAUAUUUCAUGUUUGGCUGAAUAUAAGAUAAAUAAGUCAUGAGAUAACUUAUCAUAUCCCAUCACUAAUCAAAUAUGAGAUAAAAUAUAAUAUUACAUCUUUUAUCCUAUUCCAUACGGGCCAAUCAAACAUGACCUUUGUUGAUAUUAAAAAGUUUUAAUUUGUGUUAUCUAAAACUAACACAAGUUGAGCAAUGAUUAGUAUAUUUUCCAAUUGGUUAUUUGUACAUGUUGCAUAAAAUUAAUUUUUUUUUCAAUUUUUUUUUUUUGAAAUGGGUAUAAUGUACUACUUUAGAAUUUUGUGGAAAAAAGUAUAAUGCUUGAAUUACGGAAAUUGAUAAAAUUAGGACUGAAAAAAGAUUAAAGAAUGAAAAAGUUAAGAAUUCCUCAAAUAGCUCCACGUAUUUUCUUUAAUUCAUAUAUUUAAUAAGAAAUUAAAUUAUAUAAAUUUUUUUUAUAUUUUUAGGAAUAUAUAUAUUUAUAUAUUACUUAAAAAUAGAGAUUUUCUUUUUCUCCUUUGGUUGUAGGUGUAUAUGAUUGAAUUAAAAUUUUAGGAUUUUUAAAAAAGGAGAAAAGAAAUUCCUUAAACUACAAAAACAUUUUAAAAAUUUAGAAUUUUGAAGAAAAAUAAAAGAAAUUGAAACAAAUAAGAAUUUUAGAACUUUGAAAAAGAAAAAUAGAAAUUUAUUCUAAGAUUUUGAAAAUUUAGUGAAGAGACAAUUAAUCUUAUCUUAUGACAAUUAAAUAUAUGGAUAAUAUAUUUUAUCACUAAUCAUAUCCUUGGUUAAAUAUGAGAUAAGAUAAGUGAUGAGAUAACUAAUCAUAUCCUAUCAACAAUCAAAUAUGAAAUAAAAUAUGAUAUCACUUCUCUUUUCAUAUAUCAGGUUAUAUCCAACAAACCAAGUCAUAAGGUUAAACGAACUUUAGGCUACGUUUAGUUGGUCGGAUAGGAUAGGAUAGGAUAUGAUAUGUAUUUUAAGGUAGUGUAUAUAAUUAGAUAUAUAAUAUAAUAUUUAUAUUUAAUUUAUAAAAUGAAUGAAAAAUAAUAUGAAAUAUAUAUUAUUUUUAAUAUUUAAAAUAAAAAUUAUAUCAUAUUCAAAUAUUUUCUAUUUUAAAAAAUGAAACUUUUAUUAUGUUUAGAUUAAAAUAUUUGAACUUUAUAAAUAAUUUUUUUUAUAUUAUGUUAUUUAAUAUAUAAAAAUAAUUUAUAUAUCAUAUAUUAAUAUUAUUUUAUAAAUAUUUUUUAGUUUUUAUUUUUUAAUCAUAAAUUUAAUUUAUAAAAAAAAUUAUAUUAUAAAAUAAGUAUAUUAAAAAAUUAAAAAAAAUAAUAAAAAAUAAAUUUUUGAUACAUGAGAUAUAUAUCUCAUAUCUUAUUAUGAUAUUAACAUAUCCUAUAUGAAAGGGAUAGAAAAAAAUAUAUAUAUAUAUAUAUGGAUAGUAUAUCUCACCACUUAUCUCAUCUUAUGUUUGAUAGUAUAUAUAAUAGGAUAAGUGAUGAGAUAUUUUAUCUUAUCCCAUCACCAAUCAAAUAUGACCUUAAUAACUCAAAUAAAAAAUGGUCAAAUUUAUUAUUAAUAAUAAUUGUUUUGAAAAAAAAAAGACUUUUUAAGGAAAAUGUUUAUUAAACAAUAAUAAAUUUUCCUCUACCCCACAAUAAUUCAACAAAAUAUUAAUUCCACCAAAUUUGUAUAGGAUCUUCCAUGGCUAAAUUCUCAUAUUUUUCUCAUUUUGUUGAUAUUAGAAAGUUUUUGUUUGCAUUAUCUAAAACUAGCAAGUGUAGAGCAACCGAAUUUGAAAAGCGCGUGGGUCACAUAUUUUCAAGUUGGUUAUUGGUAUGUGUCGUAUAAAAUUAAUUAUUUUUUAAAAUUUUGAAAUUGGUAUAUUGUAGUAUUUUAGAAUGUUGGGACUUGAAUUACGGAAAUUGAUCAAAUUAGGACUAAAGAAAGAUUGAAGAGUGGAAAUGUUAAAUAUUCCUCAAAUAGCUCCACGUAUUUUCUUCAAUUCAAAUAUUUAAUAAAAAAAAAUGAAAUUAUAUAUAUUUUUAUUUUUAGGAAAAUAUAUAUUAUAUUACUUAAAAAAUCCUUAGAUUACAAAAACAUUUCAAAAAUUUAGAAUUUUAAAGAAAAAUAAAAGAAAUUAAAUCAAAUAAGAAUUUUAGAAUUUUGAGAAAGAAAAAUAGAAAUUUAUUUAAAUAUUUUGAAAAUUUAGGAUAACUAAUUAAAUAAAUAUAUAAUUCUAAUAUAGUAACUAAAUAUAUCAAUAACUUGAAUUUAUAAAUAAAGAAAUUCUAAAGAAGGCAAAUUGAAUCUAAGUUGGACUUAUAAAUAUUCACUUAUAAAUAGUUCAUCUUGAUUUUAUAUUUUUUUAUUAUUGUCUUUCCUGAUUAAGCGACUAUUUACUUUUUCUCCAUGGCUAUGCAAAGAAAGAUUAAGAUGAAGGUACUUUACAAAGGAAGGUUAUUGGGAAUCAUAGAAACUACUCCCAAGAUCUCAACUAUAAAAAGAUAAUAUUAUUUGUUUAUGAUGGGUUAAAACCACAAUCUUUCACACUAAUUCUGAUUUUUUUUUUCCAAUUUGUUAUUAGAAAUAAUUUUAGUGGGGUAUGGUUAGAGAAGAUUUUUCCUCCAUUCUUCAACUAUUCAACAAAAUGUAAAUUCUACUUAAAUUUAGGUGGAAUCUUCUUCCGCUAAAACGCAGUCGUUUUUCUCCGUUUCAUUUAAAAAGAAAGAGAAAAAACUAUAUGGGCCCUGUUUGGUAUUAAAAAUAAUACCAACCUUCAUUUUUUAAUCUUAAAUGUUUUUUUUUAAAAAUCAAAAUAAAAAAAAUAUCAACAAAACUACUUUUAUUAUUAUAACUACUUUUAUUUGUUCAAAAUUUCUAAUUAGUGAAGUUUCUCUUUUUAGGGAGAAUAUUCUUUUUAUUCAUAUCAUUUUAAUAUUAGAUUUUUUUUAUAAAAUAAAGAAAGUUAUUAGAAAUAUUUCUAUAAAUAUUAUUUAUAUGUAAUGAGGGAAAAUAUUAUGAGAAAAAAUUGAAGAAUUUACUUAUUUAUUACCUUCUUUAAUAUUAGGGUGAUGGUGUUAAAAUGAUAAAAAUAAUAAUAAUUAAUAUAUUAGUUGAGUUUUGAUAACUAUUUAGAAUGCAUUUGACAACGAUUUUAGGAAAUAUUUUUUGUCUUUCUAAUACAUAAAAGAUAAAAAAUUUCAUAAGAAUUACUAAAAACACUUUUUAAAAUCACUAUCAAACGCAUUUUUAAUAUCAAUCAAAUAUGAUUAGUUUCACUAAUAAUACUUAAUUUUAUUUAAAAAUAAUAAUAAUAAUAAUAAUUAAUAUAUUUGUUGAGUUUUGAUAGCUACUUAGAAUGCAUUGGACAAUGAUUUUAGGAAAUGUUUUUUGUUUUUCUAAUACAUUAAAGAUAAAAAAUUUCAUAAGAAUUACUAGAAACACUUUUUAAAAUUACUAUCAAAUAUAUUUUUAAUAUCAAUCAAAUAUGAUUAGUUUCACUAAUAAUACUUAAUUUUGUUUAAAAAUAAUAAUAAUAAUAAUAAAAAAUAUAUUUGUUGAGUUUUGAUAGCUACUUAGAAUGCAUUGGACAAUGAUUUUAAGAAAUGUUUUUUGUAUUUUUAAUACAUAAAAGAUAAAAUUUUUCAUAAGAAUUACUGGAAACACUUUUUAAAAUCACUAUCAAACGUAUUUUUAAUAUCAAUCAAAUAUGAUUAGUUUCACUAAUAAUACUUAAUUUUGUUUAAUAAUAAUAAUAAUAAUAAUAAUAUAAUUAAUAUAUUUGUUGAGUUUUGAUAGCUACUUAGAAUGCAUUGGACAAUGAUUUUAGAAAAUGUUUUUUGUUUUUCUAAUACAUAAAAGAUAAAAAAUUUCAUAAGAAUUACUAGAAACAAUUUUUAAAAUUACUAUCAAAUAUAUUUUUAAUAUCAAUCAAAUAUGAUUAAUUUCACUAAUAAUACUUAAUUUUGUUUUAAAUGAUAUAAGUAUAGAUAUUUUUUGUCCCACAUCGAAAGAGAGUAAAAAUAUAAUCACCUUUAUAAAGUUCAAUUCUUUAUUUAAUAUUUGGGUUGAAGGGAAGAUAGAGAGAUCCAUGCUAUCCACUCUUCAAUCUUUUCAAAUAACAUAUUAUAAAUUUCCUUUUUUCUCCCUAAAACCUAUUUGAUUUUUUUCUUCAAAAUCCUAUUUUUUUUAAUUUGCAUUAUUUAAAUAGAAAAGCUUGUGGGGGACAUAUAAAGGGGAAUUGUUGGGUGGUGACGGUUGAACUUAACCAAACCACACCCAAACCCAAGGGUUAAAACCUAACUCAUGGUCCAAGAAUCUAACCCUAGGGUUCUGCUGCUUCUACUUCCAUGUAUAUAAAGGGGUAAAGGGGCAAGUUAACUCUGCCGCAGCCACUUGCCAUCUCUUCUCUUCUCUGGAGCUUCCUUGAGCGAAAAUCAAUUUUAUAAUACCUUUUCUCCGUUCCUUCUGUUUAUUAUUUGAUAUUAUAUUUGUUUGUUUGUAUAUUAUAAUCCAAAUCCGAGUGGGUGUCGGGAGAUGGUAAAGCAAAUGACGAGAAUUUUGGAAACUGAGAAGCUCGUGACGUUGAUCAAUCAUACUUCCAUGACUCCGAUGCUUUUCCUCUUCACCCUCUUCUAUCAUUCUCCCUCUAUUUCUUCUCCGUCUUGUAUUGAUUUUUCAAUAUAUCCUUCAUCAGAUUUUUCUUUUCGUUUGAUUUGUGGUUUUUUUUUUUUGUUUUUAAUCAUUUCUUGAUUGUAUGUUGAAAUUUUAGGUUGUGUUUGGUUCUCUGGAAAAUUGUUUGAUUGAAUAGAAAACUCAAAUUUGGGAUUCAAUCUUCACAGAAAAUUAUUUUGAAGUUAGAUGAUAUGUUUGUGAGAUUGAUGGUUGAGCAACACAACAUGUAUGUUGAUGAAUUUAAUGAUGUGAAAGUAGACUGUUAUUAUAAUACAUAGUAGAAUGGGCAUGAGAAUGAGUUGACAAACAUACUAAGAUGGUGGCAUGGUGAUGGAAAAUGAAAGAAAGAUUAAAAAAUUGCAUUUCAUGAUUUUUAUGUGUGAUUUUGAGGUUUUGCAAAGAUGAAUCUUAUUAUUUUAAGGUUAUGUUUGGUUUUAGGGAAAUACUAAGAAAAUAAAAAAAAAUGUAAAAGAUAAAUGAUUUUGUUUUUCUUUGAAAAGUAUAAAAGAAAAUCAAAUAUGAUUAAAUUUGUAUGUAUUUUUAUAUUAUUUAAUCUUUAUAUAAG